rnacentral:tRNA from 1 species
GGGUAGGUACGCGAAGUGGUCAAACGCAGCUGACUGUAAAUCAGCCGACUUUAUGUCUUCGGAGGUUCGAAUCCUUCCCUACCCA